rnacentral:rRNA from 1 species
CACGGAGUUAGCCGAUCCUUAUUCUUCCAGUACAUUCAGCUUCCUACACGUAGAAAGGUUUAUUCCUGGACAAAAGCAGUUUACAACCCAUAGGGCAGUCAUCCUGCACGCGGCAUGGCUGGUUCAGGCUUCCGCCCAUUGACCAAUAUUCCUUACUGCUGCCUCCCGUAGGAGUCUGGUCCGUGUCUCAAUACCAGUGUGGGGGAUUCUCCUCUCAGAGCCCCUAGACAUCGUCGCCUUGGUAAGCCGUUACCCUACCAACUAGCUAAUGUCACGCGAGCCCAUCUCCAUCCUAUAAAUAUUUAAUCAACUGAACAUGCGAACUGUUGAUAUUAUGCGGUGUUAAUCUCUCUUUCGAGAGGCUAUCCCCUGAUAGAGGUAGGUUGCUCACGCGUUACGCACCGUCGCGCCACUCUCACCGUCUUCGAGCAAGCUCUCCGCGGAUCCCGUCCGACUUGCAUGUAUUAGGUCCGUGCCGCUGCGUUCA